AUACAGAGGGUGCGAGCGUUAAUCGGAAUUACUGGGCGUAAAGCGCGCGUAGGCGGCUUAUUAAGUCAGAUGUGAAAUCCCCGGGCUCAACCUGGGAACUGCGUCUGAUACUGGUAAGCUAGAGUUUUGGAGAGGGAAGUAGAAUUUCAGGUGUAGCGGUGAAAUGCAUAGAGAUCUGAAGGAAUACCAGUGGCGAAGGCGACUUCCUGGCCAAAAACUGACGCUGAGGUGCGAAAGCGUGGGUAGCAAACGGGAUUAGAAACCCUAGUAGUCC
rnacentral:rRNA from 1 species